rnacentral:rRNA from 1 species
GCUGCCGGCAGGCCUAACACAUGCAAGUCGAGCGGUAACAGAAAGUAGCUUGCUACUUUGCUGACGAGCGGCGGACGGGUGAGUAAUGCUUGGGAACAUGCCUUGAGGUGGGGGACAACAGUUGGAAACGACUGCUAAUACCGCAUAAUGUCUACGGACCAAAGGGGGCUUCGGCUCUCGCCUUUAGAUUGGCCCAAGUGGGAUUAGCUAGUUGGUGAGGUAAUGGCUCACCAAGGCGACGAUCCCUAGCUGGUUUGAGAGGAUGAUCAGCCACACUGGGACUGAGACACGGCCCAGACUCCUACGGGAGGCAGCAGUGGGGAAUAUUGCACAAUGGGCGCAAGCCUGAUGCAGCCAUGCCCGCGUGUGUGAAGAA